rnacentral:rRNA from 1 species
GACGAACGCUGGCGGCGUGCCUAAUACAUGCAAGUAGAACGCUGAAGGAGGAGCUUGCUUCUCUGGAUGAGUUGCGAACGGGUGAGUAACGCGUAGGUAACCUGCCUGGUAGCGGGGGAUAACUAUUGGAAACGAUAGCUAAUACCGCAUAAGAGUAGAUGUUGCAUGACAUUUGCUUAAAAGGUGCAAUUGCAUCACUACCAGAUGGACCUGCGUUGUAUUAGCUAGUUGGUGGGGUAACGGCUUACCAAGGCGACGAUACAUAGCCGACCUGAGAGGGUGAUCGGCCACACUGGGACUGAGACACGGCCCAGACUCCUACGGGAGGCAGCAGUAGGGAAUCUUCGGCAAUGGACGGAAGUCUGACCGAGCAACGCCGCGUGAGUGAAGAAGGUUUUCGGAUCGUAAAGCUCGGUUGUAAGAGAAGAACGAGUGUGAGAGUGGAAAGUUCACACUGUGACGGUAUCUGACCAGAAAGGGACGGCUAACUACGUG